rnacentral:rRNA from 1 species
AUUGAACGCUGGCGGCAGGCCUAACACAUGCAAGUCGAACGAGUGGCGGACGGGUGAGUAAUGUCUGGGAAACUGCCCGAUGGAGGGGGAUAACUACUGGAAACGGUAGCUAAUACCGCAUACCAUCGGAUGUGCCCAGAUGGGAUUAGAUAGUAGGUGGGGUAAUGGCUCACCUAGGCGACGAUCCCUAGCUGGUCUGAGAGGAUUACCAGCCAAACUGGAACUGAGAGACUGUCCAGACUCCUACUGGAGGCAGCAGUGGGGAAUAUUGCACAAUGAGCGCAAGCCUGAUGCAGCCAUGCCGCGUGUAUGAAGAAGGCCUUCGGGUUGUAAAGUACUUUCAGCGGUGAGGCGUUACCCGCAGAAGAAGCACCGGCUAACGCCGUGCCAGAAGCCGCGGUAAUAC